rnacentral:rRNA from 1 species
CCUACGUGAGGCAGCAGUGGGGAAUAUUGGGCAAUGGAGGCACCUCUGACCCAGCACCGCCGCGUGAAUGAUGAAGGUCUUCGGAUUGUAAAGUUCUGUGAUGGGGGAUGAACACAAUGACGGUACCCCAAUAGCAAGCCACGGCUAACUACGUGCCAGCAGCCGCGUGAAUACGUGGGUGGCAAUCGUUAUCCGGAAUGACUGGGCGUAAAGGUUGCGUAGGUGGUUUAGUAAGUUGGCGGGGUAAUUCCGGGGCUCAACCUCGGCGCUACCGCACAAACUAUUAUACUAGAGUGCAGGAGGGGUAAGUGGAAUUCCUAGUGUAGCGGUGGAAUGCGUAGAUAGUAGGAGGAACAUCAGUGGCGAAGGCGACUUACUGGACUGUAACUGACACUGAGGCACGAAAGCGUGGGGAGCAAACAGGAUUAGAGACCCCGGUAGUC